GUCUUUUCUUUCCCCAACUGCUAUUCUCCACCUAAUCUCUCUCUCUCACAUUCCAUUAGUGUCCGGCGGCGAGGAUACAGAGGCACACACACGGAGCAGCAGCCGCGGCCGGUGCAUCCUCGGCUCCACGGUGGCAUGGGCCCUCUCCGCCCCCCGACGGCCGGUGCCUCCUUGGCUCCCGCGCCGCCGGCGCGUCCUCCGAUGUGCGGCGGCCAGCGCGUCCCGCGGCGGCCGGCGCCUCCUCGGCUCCCCCGCCGCCGGCGCGUCCUCCGAUGUGCGGCGGCCGGCGCCUCCUCGGCUCUGCGACGGCCGGUGACUCCUCGGACCCGCUGUGGCCGGCGCGUCCUCGGCUCUCCAGCGGCAUGCGCCCCCUCGGCUCCCUGCAGGCCGGCGCGUCCGCGGCGGUUGGCGCCUUCUCGGCUCCCCGGCCGAUGGGCGUCCGUGCGGCGGCCAGCGCGUCCGCGACACCCGGCGUCUCCUCUGAUGCGCGGCGUCUGGCGCGUCCUUGGCUCCCCGACGGCCAGAGCUUCCUCUGAUGCCCGGGGGCCGAUGUCUCCUUGGCUUUCCGGCGGCCAGUUACUUCUUCAUGGGGAGCGGCAGCUGCAGUGGCUAGCAGUGGCUUCCGCAGCAAGCGGUAGCGGAAGAUGGAGUCAGGUCGGCGAAGAGGAGUGGCGUGGGGUUGACGGCCGUGACGGAGUGGUCGACAUGACCAUGUGCUCACCGGUGAUGCAGGCAGCAGGAAGAGCCAUAGUGGCGGCGGCGCUUCGACGCUUUGACCGAGGGAGAUGAGGGAACAUAGCAGCCGUCAGAGGAGCACAAGUAUUUUCUCGACCACACCUCUCUCUUGUGCACUCUUUCUGAGCCGCUGCCAUCAAAAGGCACACGUACUUCAUGUCCUUUGAUGAGGAGAGCACCCUCGCUGUCAUCCAUCCACGGCUCCGCUAGCCGAUCAAAAAGAGCGACGAGGGGGGACAGAGGGUCGCAAUGCCAGGCGUACCUCCUUGACGGUGUACUGAAGCACUCUUCUUGCGGUGUACGCUCGCAGGUGGACAAGGAGCACACACAAAUAAAAAGGCUUUCCAUCCAUAUAAAUGUAUAUUCACUUAUCAAUACUGCGCAUAUUAUGGUCUUCGGCUUUGGAUGGAGAUUACAGAGGUGACAAUCCCAUAUUGAUGUAGCUGCACAUAAUGUUAUUUGAGUCUAUUUACGAUAGUGGAUGAGAAAGGAGAAGAGAACACCUGAGAAAACCAAACAUUCUCCCCUCCAUCAGCUCAUCUUUGGCCAGCAGCUUAAUAGAAAAAAUCGAAGUGAGUGGCAAGGUUUUUUGGUGGGCAAAUGAAAAAUUGAUUAACUUAGCAACCAUUUUUGUGUUUAAAAUUUCUGACCAUACAUUGUUCUUAGUUUCUGUAAUUGCAACCGAUCCGCACCUUAGUCUUAACUGUGGAAUCUAACAUUGAUUGCUACUUACUUCCAUGGAUACUCUCAUGGAUAUAUUACCAUGAGUUUUUUAUAUGCUACUUUUUCCUUUGAGACAUUUUUUGUCGAUGCAUCAAUAUCUGUUAACAAGUUAGAUGCUCUCUUAGGCUUUCCAUCCAUAUAAAUGUAUAUUCACUUAUCAAUACUGCGCAUAUUAUGGUCUUCGGCUUUGGAUGGAGAUUACAGAGGUGACAAUCCCAUAUUGAUGUAGCUGCACAUAAUGUUAUUUGAGUCUAUUUACGAUAGUGGAUGAGAAAGGAGAAGAGAACACCUGAGAAAACCAAACAUUCUCCCCUCCAUCAGCUCAUCUUUGGCCAGCAGCUUAAUAGAAAAAAUCGAAGUGAGUGGCAAGGUUUUUUGGUGGGCAAAUGAAAAAUUGAUUAACUUAGCAACCAUUUUUGUGUUUAAAAUUUCUGACCAUACAUUGUUCUUAGUUUCUGUAAUUGCAACCGAUCCGCACCUUAGUCUUAACUGUGGAAUCUAACAUUGAUUGCUACUUACUUCCAUGGAUACUCUCAUGGAUAUAUUACCAUGAGUUUUUUAUAUGCUACUUUUUCCUUUGAGACAUUUUUUGUCGAUGCAUCAAUAUCUGUUAACAAGUUAGAUGCUCUCUUAGGCUUUCCAUCCAUAUAAAUGUAUAUUCACUUAUCAAUACUGCGCAUAUUAUGGUCUUCGGCUUUGGAUGGAGAUUACAGAGGUGACAAUCCCAUAUUGAUGUAGCUGCACAUAAUGUUAUUUGAGUCUAUUUACGAUAGUGGAUGACAAAGGAGAAGAGAACACCUGAGAAAACCAAACAUUCUCCCCUCCAUCAGCUCAUCUUUGGCCAGCAGCUUAAUAGAAAAAUCGAAGUGAGUGGCAAGGUUUUUUGGUGGGCAAAUGAAAAAUUGAUUAACUUAGCAACCAUUUUUGUGUUUAAAAUUUCUGACCAUACAUUGUUCUUAGUUUCUGUAAUUGCAACCGAUCCGCACUGCUUUUUCCCAUGAUUCAGACAUGUAAGGAUGAUGUUGAUUGGCUUUAGGUUUGAAUUCAUUGGCUGGUUUCAUUCAGAUUGGUUGGGCAUAGCUGCGAGUAUGC